UGGGUUAACUCAGCGGUUAGAGCUUGGCUUUGUGACCGGAAGGUCCCGGGUUCGAAUCUCGGUAGGCAG
rnacentral:tRNA from 1 species